UACGGGGGGGGCAAGCGUUGUUCGGAAUUACUGGGCGUAAAGGGUUCGUAGGUGGCCAACUAAGUCAGACGUGAAAUCCCUCAGCUUAACUGGGGAACUGCGUCUGAUACUGGUUGGCUUGAGUGCAGGAGAGGAAUGCGGAAUUCCAGGUGUAGCGGUGAAAUGCGUAGAUAUCUGGAGGAACACCGGUGGCGAAGGCGGCAUUCUGGACUGCAACUGACACUGAUGAACGAAAGCCAGGGGAGCAAACGGG
rnacentral:rRNA from 1 species